CAGGACUCGCAAGACUCCCGUAAACCAUUGUGAACCUACCUAUUGUUGCCUCGGCGGGCGCUCGAGCUCAGCGCUCAGCCCGCCGGCGGCCCCCUACUCUGACUCACUGCGAUGGCAUCUCGGAGAAAACACAAACCAAUAA
rnacentral:misc_RNA from 1 species